rnacentral:sRNA from 1 species
GCUCGGGGGUCCCAGUUC